AAAUUGUCCAGAUUUGUGUUUAUCUAAAUGUGGGCUAACAUCUGAUAACUUAUUUUGAUCCUAUUUGAAAAUCUAGUGAUAUCCAUAUUGUACAUCAAGAACACCUUGAGUGAAUGAAUUCAAAGUCUUGAAGAGAAGGUGUUUUAACUUUCAAAAUUGUCAAUUGUUGUAUUUAGCCAUGGUUCAAAGUUUGAGUUCUCUUGUAUUUCAAGAUAUACAUGUUGUCAAGUUUAUUUGUGUUUCCUACUCCAUAUAAAUGACAAAAAUUUUAAACUAAUGAAGUUGAUAUUUUUUGGUUAACUCUUGCAUAUCUGGCUACACAUAACAUUUUGUUUCGUAUAAAACAUGCCUACAAGAAUGGUCCACAUGGCGGUCUUGAACUAGCUGGAAUUAUUCAUCUUUAACUGUAUGGAUGAACAUAUAGAGUAUUCUUAUUUGGAUGGCCAUGAAUUAUGCAUUCUGGAAUUAGUAAAAGCCUCGACCACAAGUGAUCAACGAGCAAGUAAAAAUGGAGUGCAAGUAUAAGUAUUUUGACAUUCUUAAUAGUAAACAGAAAUGUAAAGACAAGUUAUGAAUAGAAAAACUGUACAAAUAGAGAAACUACAUAUAUAGAGGAUUUGAAUAGGCUUGUCGGAGGAGCUAGUUAUUGGUUGCUUUAAUUGUAACUCUUCUGAUUGUUGUUUUAAAUAUUGUGUUUGUUGAACCAAAAAUAGAUUACUUUAAGAGUUUUAUAAAUUUUGA